CGCCUAGAAAAUCAACCUUCCGGUUGUGGCUGAGUUGCUCAUUAGCACCUUGUCUUUAGGAAAAGACUUUAACAUUCUUAGGCCUCCAGUGGUUUCCUGUGCAAAAUAAAGAUUUCUUCUCCGGCCCCUCCCAGCACUAAUUCUCAAUAAUAAAUGGGUUCUAUGUAACUGGGAUUACUCAGACGCUUUGUAUCCUGAGAUUUUAAUUAAAAAUAUUUGCCAGAUACUACUAAGAAAUGUUUAAAUCUUCACAUACUGAGUCAAUCAUGUUAUUCUAAGAAGUUUUUUCUUCAGCUUUUUUUAAGACUCUGAAGGUGAAUAAUAAUGUUAUAAUUAACAUUGCUGGGUUAAACUCACUUAUUAGUCUAAAUAGCAUUUAUUUAUUUUUUGUACAGAAGAUGUGUAUGAGCUGCAGUUUUAUAAAUGAGGAUACACAGAGCCAGUAAUACAGUGCCUUGCCCAGAGAUAUGCAAGUCAUUCCCU
rnacentral:lncRNA from 1 species